rnacentral:rRNA from 1 species
UACAGAGGUCUCGAGCGUUAGGCGGAAUCACUGGGCUUAAAGCGUGUGUAGGUGGAUCGUUAAGUACCUUGUGAAAUCCCUCAGCUUAACUGGGGAACUGCGCCUGAUACUGGAUGGCUUGAGUUUGGGAGAGGGACGCGGAAUUCCAGGUGUAGCGGUGAAAUGCGUAGAUAUCUGGAGGAACACCGGUGGCGAAGGCGGCGUCCUGGACCAACACUGACACUGAAAAGCGAAAGCCAGGGGAGCAAACGGG